UUCGCAAUGCCCGAAAGGGUGACGAUGCGACGCCGCGUGAGCGAAGAAGGCCCUAGGGUUGUAAAGCUCUGUCGAGGGUUAUGAAAUAUAGAUGGGUUAAUACCCCAUUUAUUUGACAAAAGCCCAAAAGGAAGCCACGGCUAACUCUGUGCCAGCAGCCGCGGUAAUACAGAGGUGGCGAGCGUUGUUCGGUAUUAUUGGGCGUAAAGAGCACGUAGGUGGUUUUGUAAGUCAGGUGUGAAAGCCUUCUGUUCAAAGGAAGAACGGCAUCUGAAACUGCAGAUCUUGAGUGUAGGAGGGGAGAAUGGAACUUUUGGUGGAGCGGUGAAAUGCGUAGAUAUCAGAAGGAACGCCGGCGGCGAAAGCGACUCUCUGGCCUAUUACUGACACUGAGGUGCGAAAGUUAGGGGAGCAAACGGGAUUAGAUACCCCGGUAGUCCUAACCGUAAACGAUGGGCACUAAGUAGAGGGGUUUU
rnacentral:rRNA from 1 species